GAUGAACGCUGGCGGCGUGCCUAAUACAUGCAAGUCGAGCGAACAGACGAGGAGCUUGCUCCUCUGACGUUAGCGGCGGACGGGUGAGUAACACGUGGAUAACCUACCUAUAAGACUGGGAUAACUUCGGGAAACCGGAGCUAAUACCGGAUAACAUGUUGAACCACAUGGUUCAACAGUGAAAGACGGUCUUGCUGUCACUUAUAGAUGGAUCCGCGCCGCAUUAGCUAGUUGGUAAGGUAACGGCUUACCAAGGCAACGAUGCGUAGCCGACCUGAGAGGGUGAUCGGCCACACUGGAACUGAGACACGGUCCAGACUCCGACGGGAGGCAGCAGUAGGGAAUCUUCCGCAAUGGGCGAAAGCCUGACGGAGCAACGCCGCGUGAGUGAAGAAGGUCUUCGGAUCGUAAAACUCUGUUAUUAGGGAAGAACAAAUGUGUAAGUAACUAUGCACGUCUGGACGGUACCUAAUCAGAAAGCCACGGCUAACUACGU
rnacentral:rRNA from 1 species